rnacentral:rRNA from 1 species
GACGAACGCUGGCGGCGUGCUUAACACAUGCAAGUCGAGCGGUAAGGCCCUUUCGGGGUACGACGAGCGGCGAACGGGUGAGUAACACGUGGGUGACCUGCCCUCAGCUCUGGGAUAGGCCUGGGAAACCGGGUCUAAUACCGGAUAUGACUCCAUGACGCAUGUUGGUGGGGUGGAAAGCCUUGUGCGGCUGAGGAUGGGCCCGCGGCCUAUCAGCUUGUUGGUGGGGUGAUGGCCUACCAAGGCGACGACGGGUAGCCGGCCUGAGAGGGCGACCGGCCACACUGGGACUGAGACACGGCCCAGACUCCUACGGGAGGCAGCAGUGGGGAAUCUUGCGCAAUGGGCGAAAGCCUGACGCAGCGACGCCGCGUGAGGGAUGAC